GCCUUUCCAGUGCAAAAGGCUCUGGCCCUUUCCAGACACCAGCCACGUUUUCAGGGGUCCCAGGACCCCGAGAAGGCUGCACUCCAUGAUUUGAGGGGCUCCCCAGCUCUCACCUGAGGGCCUGCAGGUUUCCAGGAUGUGCACCUUCUCGCGGGACCCCCCUUCUCCCUUGGGAAGAACUAAGGGGCACCUUCACCCUCGAGCCAACCUCACCAGUGCUUCCAUUUUUCUGCGGACACAUUUCACAUUCAUAGGCUCUGAUCCGAUGGAGGGAAAUUGGAACAAAAUAUGUGGUCACCCAGACAGAGACCUCCAGGUCAUGGAUUUUGAAGGAUCGGAGAGACCUCAGGAAAUUCCUGAAUUCUUGUGCAAAUUCACCUCAGCUAUAGCUCUGUGUGCCAAGAGAAAUGGAGAGAGGAAACCUUUGAGGGGCCAUACAAUGACCGGUUUCCUCACAGGACAGCCAGUACCUCCUUGACUUGUGUGUGCCCCUCAAGUGACGCUUUCCUGAAUGGUAAGUCCUGCCCCAAGAGGGCUCACUGCAUCUAUCUGCAGUCAUCCAGACAGCUGGGAAACUCUGAACUCCUCCAGAUGUUCAUCUAAGAUGACUGAGUGUGGGCUCUGACUUCACGGAGCUGCCACUUCCCGCGGGAGCAAUGUGACCAGAUGGAGGCACCCAUUCUUCCUGGUUGUUGCUGCCACUGGUUUGGCAUUGUCGAGGUCUUCUGCUUCUGGGAACAGACCAAGUAUGGAGAGAUUGCUCGGCCUGCAUGGUUUCUGGAUGAAUAGCUGUGUCAUAAUGGCAACCACAACAUUAGGGCUCCUCCAGGAACUGACAGCAGAAGAUGGCUCUGUGUGUCCAGGGAUUGACCCAACAGUCCUUGCUCAACCCUUCAGGGUUCCAGCUCCAAGGAGAAAGGAGGAGGAAGGAGGAGACGGGAGAUCAAUGGCAGCCUUGUCUUGGGCUCACAAAUGGCUAAUUAAUUAAUUACACUACAAAAGAACUGGUUGAGCAGGUGCUCCCAGUACUGUUAAGAAACUACUAAAAGCUGACAGGGGAGGGAUGGCAGGGCAGGGCCAAGAGGUCAAGAAGAAUCUGCAGGGAGAGAAAGUCAAGCCCUGUCUUCUCAGGUUGAGGAUGUGUAGAUACAGAUUGUUUCAGUAACCUAUUGUAUAUAACUACCCCCAAACCAUGGUCAUCCACAGCAGCUUGUUUUUCUUACGACUCAGCCUGCUGGCCUGGGCUCAGCUGGAGUUUCUUCUAUGCUCCCUGCCAUCCGUGGGCACAUCAAGAUGACUCUAUUUCUUAGCUGGGAGAUGUGUGUGUACAGCAGCCAGGCUUCGAGUCCAGUGCCCAGAAGAUUCUAGGGAAGUGUUCAACGGCAGAGUGAGUGGCUGAGCACCCACAGAAGCCUGUGAUCUGUGGGCAGCUGCAGCUCACCUGGCAGGUGGCGGGUGCUAUGCUGGUGGGAGGCCCCUCAGCAGAAGUAGGGAAGAAUGUUCCCUGACAAUAUCGCAGUGAGCUCUGGGACCCACAGAAGCACACUCUGGGGCUUUGUAGAUGCAGGCCCCGGGACAGGGAAAGGGACCCAUUGUCCACAUCGUCUUGCAUACCAGAGGGAGAUAUUCCUCAUUCCUGACUGGAAAAAAGGAACUUGGUUCCCAUUCUUGCUUGUUGGACUUUUGAAAGGGUGGGAGAGAGGCCACAGAGAAGAGAACUGGGAAAGUGGGGUGUUAAAGAGGAACUUUGGACUGGGAAGCCAAAUCCUAGGAAAUCCAGUGUGCUUCCAGCACCUGAGGCUGCAUGGGAGAAGGGUACUGUGUGGCCAGGGAUGCUGUUAGCUCUCUGGAGCAUCAGGAGGGAUGGAGGCUGCUCCAGCUACUGAGAGGGAUUCCACACAAUGGUGAAAAAUCUGCCAAGGGAGAACAGACCCCUUGGCUGCAGGACACUGUGAAGUAGGAGGAGCAGAGGCCAUUUAAGGCAGGUAAAUUGCUAUCAACCAUCCCUCCUAAUUCGGUGGCUCCCAUCAGCAGCAGGCUCCUCCCCUGUAAUGGCAGUCAUGCUAGUUUCCUACUGGUCCAGUAACAGAUCACCAUAGACUUAGUGGCUUAGUACGGACGCACAAGUCUAGAUCAUAGAUCCACAGCUACAUUUGUUCUGCAGGCUUCAGGGAAGCAUUGGCUUCCCUACCUUUCUGGGUUGCAGAUGCUGCCUGCUUCCCUGACUUGUGGCCCCUCCUCGUGUCACUCUAACCUCUCCCUUCUAUAAUUGCAUCCCCUGUCUCUGACUCUACCCCUUUUCUAAGGACCCUUGUGAUUACAUGGGGCUCGCCUCGAUAAUCCAGGAUAACCUGCCCGCUUCAAGAUCUUUUACUUAAUCAUACCUGUCGACUCCCUCUUGCCGGAGGGUAACAUAUUCACUGGUUUCAGGGAUUUGGAUGUAGAGCGGGGCACCCCAGAGAAAUUGGUGUCAGCCUGAGACCUUGGACACUGCUUCUCUCUGGAACUCUCUGCCUGUCAGAUGAAACAGCAGGACAAUACUGCACAGUUUUGUCAGUUCUGGGAGGCGCAGAACCUAGCCUUCUUGAACAUUUGUAUUGUGCAAAUCUGAGGGUAUGUUUCUGGUUUUCAAGUAUAAAAUUAUAAGGCCUAGGCUGCAUACCUUGUGUGACAUCAGAUAUUGCCCUACCUCUCAAUCAUGAGGGCCCUGCUGGGGAAGCCGCGUGUGCAGAGGAAAUCCUAGCGGACACCAAGGUUCUGGUACUGGACUCAAGCCUCAGCGCCUAGGGGAAGACCCUGAAGGAAAGUCUCCUGCCAGUCAAGGAAAUUUCCAUCAGGCCAGGCUCUGCCUGGAAAUUUCUCCUCCAGAGAGGAUACCAGGAUCCACUUCUGUCUUCCAGGAAUGGCUCCAACCGGGAUCCUUGGCCCAUCCUGUGGGACCUUGCCUGGACUCUUCUCCGACCCAGCCCUCAACAGCCUGAGACCAAGCUCCAUGUCCCAGUAGCUCCCAGGGAGGCGGCACUGAGGCACAUGGUGAUUCUGGAAGCUCUGCUCCAGACCCAGGCGUCAGUGAAGUCCCCGAGGGCUCUCCUCGGUGGGGAACUCUAGAGUAAGAGAAGAGCGUCUCUAGUAACAAGAACCAGGUUUCCAGUUUGAUGUUCAAGCCCAGUUUGGAAAUAAGGAUGGAGACUUUGCAACUCAGCACCUUGCAAAACGCAGGAUGGAUGGGAGAAAGGAGGAGAGGAGGAUAAGAUCAACCCUGCAAAUUUGAACCUCAGUUUCUACUGAAUGGAAAUCAUUCCACUCCAUCAUCAAGUCACAAAGCUGUAAACUGAACCACCUCCAAGUCAGGAUUGUCUCCAGUUACGUACAUUUCCAGAAGCAGAAUCCACCCUCCUUUUCCCCAAGCGCUGCUGUAAGCCAGAGCACAAUCUCUAACAGGUAAGUGCUGCUGCUCUGAAGCCCAUGCCUUGGCAUCCUGCUGACCUUCCUCCUCCCGUAUGCCCUGGUGCAGCUCAGUAGGCAGCUUUCAAGCCACACAUCUACCCCAACUCCUCAAUAUGCCAGCGAGGAAACUGAAGUCUUGAAAGGGAAGCAAUCACUGGAGAAGGUGGAGAAGGCUUCUCCAUGUCAUGGGCCAUGGUCUGGUGGAGAUGGGCCUGAAGCGUAGGUGUGAAGUGAGGUGGGAGGCAGGGGGCAUGGGUGCUUGUGUGACAGUGCCCAGGAGAUGACCUUGAGGCAGGUGACUGUGGGUUUGUAAACAGCAUGGUUCCAGGGAUUGGGUCCCCACAGUUUCCCCUAUAUCCCUUUUCUGUUUCUCACCAGCUGCUACAAUUCUAGGGUUGCUCUUGAGACUGAGGCUUAUGGGGACAACACCACAAAAGGUGGUUACAACUUACACAUUUCCCUCAAGGGCAAAGGCACCAAAUGCAAGUAGCACCCACUUUAGAAAGCCUUCCAGUUCAAUCAUCAUCUCGCACUGGUAGCAGGACUACGGCAGAACCUGGGUGUGCAGGGAGGUAAUGAUGAGGGGAGUGACCGGAUGUGAGUUCUGCAGCCUCCCCAGGGCUGGGAGGCAGGGUAGGAAGGUCUGCUGAUAGCACAAGAAUUUGAAAACCAACACUCAACCCAAUUCUAACCCUACCACGGAAGCCUUAUCACUUAUUCAUCUGGUAAUAAGCCAUUCACCUUAAAUCUUCGUUUCUGUAUCGUUUCUGUUGGCAAAGAUGUCAUGGAAUUAAAAUCAACUGUGUUACUCUA